rnacentral:rRNA from 1 species
UACGUAGGGUGCGAGCGUUGUCCGGAAUCAUUGGGCGUAAAGCGCGUGUAGGCGGCCAGAAAAGUCCGCUGUGAAAACUCGGGGCUCAACCCCGAGACGUCGGUUGAAACCAUCUGGCUAGAGUCCGGAAGAGGAGUGUGGAAUUCCCGGUGUAGCGGUGAAAUGCGCAGAUAUCGGGAAGAACACCCGUGGCGAAGGCGGCACUCUGGGACGGUACUGACGCUGAGACGCGAAAGCGUGGGGAGCGAACAGG